rnacentral:rRNA from 1 species
GAUGAACGCUGGCGGCGUGCCUAAUACAUGCAAGUCGAGCGAACAGACGAGGAGCUUGCUCCUCUGACGUUAGCGGCGGACGGGUGAGUAACACGUGGAUAACCUACCUAUAAGACUGGGAUAACUUCGGGAAACCGGAGCUAAUACCGGAUAAUAUAUUGAACCGCAUGGUACAAUAGUGAAAGACGGUUUUGCUGUCACUUAUAGAUGGAUCCGCGCCGCAUUAGCUAGUUGGUAAGGUAACGGCUUACCAAGGCAACGAUGCGUAGCCGACCUGAGAGGAUGAUCAGCCACACUGGGACUGAGACACGGUCCAGACUCCUACGGGAGGCAGCAGUAGGGAAUCUUCCGCAAUGGGCGAAAGCCUGACGGAGCAACGCCGCGUGAGUGAUGAAGGUCUUCGGAUCGUAAAACUCUGUUAUUAGGGAAGAACAAAUGUGUAAGUAACUAUGCACGUCUUGACGGUACCUAAUCAGAAAGCCACGGCUAACUACGUG